rnacentral:misc_RNA from 1 species
AUGCAUGUCCAACCCUAUGAUUUAGGCGUAAGUCCAAUUAAGCUUCUUAAGAAGAAGAUGCACUAAAGGACUUGGAUGACACUAGCCAAUAGCUCUCAAGGAGAGGCCUAUAACAUUGGUGCAAGAUCUGCCAUAUCUUCUGACCAUGGGUCCUCUAAGGAAGAGAAAUAAAAUAUGAUGCAAAUGAAUCCCCUGUACCAGAGUCUGCCAAGUCCUUAGCCAUUGUGCCUUACAAGAGACUAAUGAGGAAGCACCAAAAAUGAAGAAGCACCAAAAAUGAAGAAUCACCAAGAAUUGAAAAGCACCUAAGGUUAAUUCACGGCCUCUACUAGGCUGACCUACGGCCUCAAAUAGCCAACCUAACAGCUUUUUCCUAAGG